AAGUGUUCAACCGGGGCAAUCUGAGAUCACAUGUUGGUACUUUUCUUUUCUUUUUUCUCUUCAAUUAUUGAGUGGUUCAAUAUUUUAAUAUGUGUUCUCAGGUUGCCCCUGUCGAACUAUU
rfam:Nicotiana attenuata strain TT chromosome 12, whole genome shotgun sequence.